GGCCGAGGUGCAUUAAGCUUCGCUCAGGGAGAAACAAUGCAUUUUAUCAUAGGGCCGGACAGCUACAUGCACAAGAUGCUACCUACAGGGAUUGGUUUUGGCCAGAUGUGCAGGAGAGAUGCAUAGAGAGGAAGAAAUGCAUACAUGCGUGCGGAUUUUGGCGUGUGCACAAGUAGCCUCGAGGAUUUUCUUUGGGUCUGCAGUCAAAAUGGAUUUCCAAGAGGAAGCUGUCCGAACACACAUCUCUUCCCUGUGCUACAUAUGGUCCCAUCUCCAACAGCCAGGUUUUCAGGAAAGUGAUCAGCACCUGCUUCAGCUCUGGCUCGGGAUCUUUGGCCAAUGUGAUGGGCAGAAAACUGGAAUGAGGGCAGAAAAGCACCUCGGAGGCUUGAAGAGUCAAGUCUCCCACCACCUUGCUAAUGGAGCCAGAGAGAAAUUUAUCUUGGAACUAAUGUUCACGAAGACCUUCCAGUUCAGACUCAAUACCGUUGCCAAGUCAGGGUGUUUGGGAGUUUGGGCAUGCCUCAUAGUCCUGGGGUAGGUGGAAGAUUCUCUGAAUCACAGUAUCGACCAUCUGGGGAAGCCUGCCCUGAACAAUUCUGUGACACAAGAAUCAUCCUCUAAAACACACAUAGACUUUCUUGUUCUUAUUCUCUAAUCCUCGAAUAUAUUAAGCAGUUUGAAAUGAAAAUGGAUUGUCCUUGUUUUGAAAGUAGGUUUGAAGAUUUUCUUCUGUAUCUAUUACCUCUCACACAAUGCUUGCCUAAGUCCUGGGCAUGUAAUACCUG
rnacentral:lncRNA from 1 species